rnacentral:rRNA from 1 species
GACGAACGCUGGCGGCGUGCUUAACACAUGCAAGUCGAACGAUGAAGCCUAGCUUGCUAGGUGGAUUAGUGGCGAACGGGUGAGUAAUACGUGAGUAACCUACCUUUAACUCUGGGAUAAGCCUGGGAAACUGGGUCUAAUACCGGAUACGACCAAUCUCCGCAUGGGGUGUUGGUGGAAAGCGUUAUGUAGUGGUUAUAGAUGGGCUCACGGCCUAUCAGCUUGUUGGUGAGGUAACGGCUCACCAAGGCGACGACGGGUAGCCGGCCUGAGAGGGUGACCGGCCACACUGGGACUGAGACACGGCCCAGACUCCUACGGGAGGCAGCAGUGGGGAAUAUUGCACAAUGGGCGCAAGCCUGAUGCAGCGACGCCGCGUGAGGGAUGACGGCCUUCGGGUUGUAAACCUCUGUUAGCAGGGAAGAAGAGAGAUUGACGGUACCUGCAGAGAAAGCGCCGGCUAACUACGUGCCAGCAGCCGCGGUAAUACGUAGGGUGCGAGCGUUAAUCGGAAUUACUGGGCGUAAAGCGAGCGCAGACGGUUACUUAAGCAGGAUGUGAAAUCCCCGGGCUCAACCUGGGAACUGCGUUCUGAACUGGGUAGCUAGAGUAUGUCAGAGGGGGGUAGAAUUCCACGUGUAGCAGUGAAAUGCGUAGAGAUGUGGAGGAAUACCGAUGGCGAAGGCAGCCCCCUGGGAUAAUACUGACGUUCAUGCUCGAAAGCGUGGGUAGCAAACAGG